CCCGGCCGCCCGCUCUGUGGGAACGAGGCAGGACAUGGAUUCAGUGUCAGACCUCAGCCCUCCCACCUCCAGCAGCAAGACCUCAACGUUGGGCUCCACCUCUCCUUCCAGGCGGGAAGAGGAACCGAGCGUCCCGCUGGCAGCUGUGCUGCUCGGGAAGCGCCGGGAAAACACGUCCCUCCCGGCCCAAAGCUUUUCGAGAAACCCAAAGGUUGGGUUUGUUUGGGAGAAGUUUUUAACGACAGAGCUUGGAGAAUUUUUGAACAACAGCAGGUCAACAAAAGGCUGGGCAGGACUCCCCUGGGAUGACUCCGAGGGCAGUCGUUAUGGGAACGCCGGCUGUCAGCAUCCCCGGGGCUCUGUAUCCCGCCUGACUCCGGGGAAGCUCCUUCUGGAUCGCUAUCACAGCAUCCCUCUGGCUGCCACUUGAAGCGCCUUUGGAAGAUGAAUCAGAGCUUUGUUUCGAGUCUCCAGAGAAGUUAAAUCAGAGCUACUUGGAUCGGGGAGAGGCGGGAAUGAAAGGGGAGAAAAAUGUGAAGUAAAAAUAUCUGAGCGUGUGUCACCGAGGGCAGGCCCAGAACAAUCGCUGGCUGACAUUUCUGCUGCACACAAAACUCAUACAUUUGCCUCGUGUUUUUUUCUCUGCCGUUGCAAAUAUGAUAAAAAGCAGCUUUCCAGGGAAACCUAGAAACUGCCAGCGCUGCCACAAGUUUUAUAAUCUCUUCAUGUUGCACUUGUCUGGUGCCAUAUGUGUGGAAAUCUGUCUCGGAACCAACGUGCAUAUCUAAUCUGAACGGUGGUUUUGUUUAGGUCUCUCUCAUAUUUAGGAUAAUCUGGGAGAUGUGGCUGUUUGGAGCUAUCACUGAAAAAAAGAUGGAAAACAGGGAGCAUUUUUACAGUAGUUACUGGUCCCAUGGGAAAAGGAGGAUGUCUUUUUUUUAGGGACAUACUUGGAGUCAGUGGUUUUGGCUGGGUUAGGGUAGUUUUUAAAAAGCCCUGGUCACCACUGAAUUGUGGUUAAUGGUGAGAUCCCUUAAUAGACACGGAAUGACGUUGGCCAGGGUGGUUUUUGGACCUGCUGUCACUGGCCUUGUGCCCAGAGAAAUAAAUUAUAUUGCUGACAACAGUCUCAGAAGAAACAGAGCCGCCUUCCGGAACAUCACUGGGAAUAUCAGUGGCAUGGGCACGGGAUAACAGAUCCUCCAUGGAAAAACCCUCCUGAAGAAGCCAGUUUAAUUGCAAAGAAGAGCCAUAACAACUCCCAGCUGUGAAUGAUGGUGUGUUAUAUUAAAAUAACACAUUUUAAUUAAGGAUUUAUUCCUCGGAAGGAUUGCUUUUCGUUCCCUCAGUAGGCUGUCAUGUCUAAGCUCGUGGUAAGUCCUGAUCAAUCAGCUCACUGCUGCUGUGGGCAGGGUUGUGUUGGAUUCAGAAUACUGCAGUGGGAAAUCUGGGGCAACCUGGAAUCCACAUUAUUGAUCAUUGAGCUCCCAGGGAAGGGAACUGGGAGAUGAACUGGAAAAUACAGACUAUUCCUUGGGACUCACUGAGCUGCCACACCUUCACCACUCAAAGAGCACCUGAAUUCUGAGGUCAGUCACCUUUGCAAAAUGAGCCAAAACAAGAGAUGUCUUCAGGCUCAUUGCCACUGGUCUUUGCUGGUGAAAGCCCCCAGUCCUCUGGCUGCCACCUUUGUAAGUCCCAUCCUGUCCCUGGAUGUACCACCAGGGAUCUGGGGGGAUUCUCCACUGCUCGGACUCGUCACUCCCAGAGCUGCCAGUAAAAACUUCCCAUUUUCAGUUGGCUUUUUCACCCGGUGAUAUUGUUUUCAAAUUCGAUCCCUCCAGAGGUAUUUCCUGCCACUUGUUGCUGAAAUGUCACUAUGGACAAGCAUCAUAUUUUUCAGAAUAUUGCUGGAAAGUUCUGCUCUCCUCAGGGUCUGCAAGGGCUGGAACCAAGAGCAGCACCACUGAAUCUUCCUGCAAUACCCUGGUGGGUGUUGUCACCCUGCAAGGAGCAAUCUCCAGCUCCCUCUCUGUUAUUCCUUUGUAACGUGGCAAAAGUAGCCUUUGAAAAACCAGACCACACACAUGGACUCCCCCAAGCUUUGGGAUUUGCUGCUGGCUCGGUGUGUCACAGUUUAAAGCAUUCCCUAACGUUGUAUCCUAAUUAACUGAUUGGAUCUUCCACUGGCAGCUUUCCCCCCCUCCCUCUUAAUUACAUCAGGGGCUGUGCAGGCAGAUAAAGUGCUUCAUGAAACACAGACCCAGGUAAAGCACUGGAAUUAUUAACCAUUCAUUGACACAUUUGUGUCUCUGGAUGUAUAAAUUUAUGUAAGGUAUUCACAGGCAGGCAGGAAUUGCUCUUUAUGGAGGUGGGAUCAUGGCCAUGCAGAUAAACCUGCAGGGAAUUUGUAUUUGCUAGCACAAGCAUGUGCCCACCACUGCCAAAGGGCCGGGGGUCUCACACGUUUCUUCCAGCUCACAUUUCCUAAAAUCUCUCCUUGGAGCCCAGGGACAGCAGGGUCCUGCAAGGACACGGACCCCCUCCUCAUCCACAGCAGGAGGUGGGGAAAUGCAGCCAAAUUCUUCUGCACAAACACAGGCAGCAUGAAAUUCGGGCUGCUAAAGUCCCCACAAUAUGCAGGGAAGAAGCACUAAAUGCUAAAUAAAAAGGAAUAUUUAGCUUUUAAGCAGAGGGUGGCCAUGUAGAGCCCUUGGCACGGACCUCUGAAAACACACGUGGUCAAACUCAGAGAACUCCACUAAAUAGGGCAGGAAAAGCCCCUAAACCACCCUGACACGUGGAGUGGGAAUGGGGAUGGAAUCCUGAGCACAGAGUCCUGGAAAACCUACCCUGUGGCACCACGAACUGGCACUGGAAUAAGGGGAUGAGAAAAUUCGGGCAGGACUGUCCCAACCCUCCCAUCAGCUGACAACAAACCUUUGGUUAUAACCUGCUCCUGUCGAAAAUGAGCCACAUCAACAUUCCAUUCCCACAAGGAACCCCUUCCCAGGGAGGUGGUGGAGGCAGCUGCAGCAGGACUGCACUGCACACACUGCCUGAGAAACAAGAGAUGUUUAUAACCAGAAAAAAGGUCAUAUUUUCUAGACUCUGGACUAUUCCUGAUCCUCUCCCUGUUGUUUUCCCAGGUGUACUCCAUCCAACAAAAGGCUCCACCAUGACAACACAGAGCUUCAGGUGAUGCAAUUUGAGAAGAAUUUGAUAACGUGAGAACUCCUUGGCCAAUGAUCUGAGUGUUUAUUGUCCCAGUGAUGCAUUAAAAAAGGAAUUUAUUGUGAGCCCCGGGGUGGAACUAAACUAUGGAAAAGCUGGAAGGCACUGAACUGGCUUGUCCAGGGGCUGCAGCAAUCCAGGAGCACCCAGGUUGCAAGAGACCUUCAGGAUUGUGGGGUCCAACUGCACAGAUGCAGCUGUGGAAAGCACACACGGAGCCUGGGGCAGGUCCUGGAGGGCAGGGAAAAGGGACAAGCCCUGAAGAACCAGGAGCUGCCUCUGCAGGCUCUGUCUCCCAGUGUUUGCUCCGGAUUCCUGGAGUCUGACCCCUUCCAGCACCCUGGGAUGUGGAAUUAUGGCACUGCCAGCAGCUCCUUCCCAAAAAACAGGCUAAGACCUGCUUUCCUCUUCAGAAGGACCCAGAGCUGUGCCCACCAUGGGACAGGGAUCCCAGCUGGACAGAGGGCACCUGUGGAGAACUUCAGACCAAUGCCCUGGAUAUGGAAAAGGUCAGGACAAACCUCUGUCUGUGCCAUGUCCUGGGCUGGCCUCCUGGAAUCUCAUCCCCAGGUUCUCCCACCCCUCAUUUUGUGUGGCGUGUCAAAUUUUGUAAUGGAAUACAGGGAUAUGCUUUGGAAAUCCAAAUAUUAUCCCCCUGGACACUGGGUGGUGGUGGAAUCUAUUCUUGGUCGUACAGUCACCUCCGGUCCCACAAAACCUGACCCCACUCAUUCAUCUGCUUUGCAGUAUUAUCCUCAGUUCCUCUCCAAACCCAAAUAGAUGGACCUGGUGAUAAAAUCCUCGACAAAUGGAUCUCAGCAGUCAUUGCUGCAGGCUCCCCUUUCUGUCUGCAACACUCAUUUAAAAGGAUAUUCACAGUUUAGGACAAACCUCUCCCCUGCCAUGUCCUGGUCUGGCCUCCUGGAAUCCCAUCCCCAGGUUCUCCCACCCCUCAUUUUGUGUGAUGUGUCAGGUUUUGCAACAGAAUACAGGGAUAUUCUUUGGAAACCCAAAUAUUGUCUUGUCCCCCUGGACACUGGGUGGUGGUGGAAUGUGUCCUUGGUUGUACAGUCACCUCCAGUCCCACAAAACCUGACCCCACUCAUUCAUCUGCUUUGCAGUAUUAUCCUAAAUUCCUCUCCUAACCCAAACAGAUGGAUGUGGUGAUAAAAUCCUCGACAGAUGAGUCUCAGCAGUCAUUGCUUCAGCCUCCCCUUUCUGUCUGCAACACUCAUUUCCUACCCCACUGCACAGCCCUUUUCCCUCCUCCCUCCUGCUGCUGCCUCAGCCCCCGAGGAAAUCAAUUUUCCAUCCUUCCCUCAUGCCACAGUGACUCAAGAUUUCACCAGCUCCCUUUUUGAGGCUUAUUUCGUUUAGUUUGGGGUGAUGGAUGAGAUCUCUGGCACCUAUUUCUGUGCAGAAUUCCGCUGUGG